rnacentral:rRNA from 1 species
UCAAACGAGGAAAGACACCGGUGGGAUACCUAGGCACCCAAGACGAGGAAGGCGUAGUAGCGACGAAAUGCUUCGGGGUUGAAAAUAAGCGUAAAUCCGGAGAUUUAGAUAGGUUAACACGAACUGCUGCUGAAUCAUGGGCGAGCGAAACCCAACCUGGCGAACUGAAACAUCUUGGUAGCCAGGAAAAGCAAAGCGAUUCCGUGGCGGCGAGCGAAAUGGGAACAGCUAAACCGUGAAAACAGGGUUGUGGAAACAAAAAGCGUCGUGCUAGGCGGCGGUGGAGUGCCGCACCUAGAUGGCGAGGUCCAGUAGCCAGCAUCGCAACGUAUGACCCGGUAGCAUAGGGCGUGGGAUCCCGUGUGAAUCAUGGGACCACCUUGCAGGCUAAAUACUCUGGGUGAUGAUAGCGAAGUAUUUACGUGAGGAAGGGUGAAAGAACUAUCGGAAGAAAUGAACCUGAAACGUAAGCUCCCAAAGCGGUGGGAGGAGCCUGGGCUCUGACCGCGUACCUGUUGAAGAAUGAACCGGCGACUCAUAGGCGGUGUUGGAUUAAAGACCCACGGGCCAUUCGCGAAAAGCGAGUCUUCAUAGACAGUGUCACUGCUUAUGGACCCGAACCUGGUGAUCUAUCUGACCAGGAUGAGCUUGGGUGAAACUAAGUGGAGGUCGAACCGACUGAUGUUGAAAAUCAGCGGAUGAGUUGUGGAUUGGGGUGAAAUGCCCUCGGGCAAACUGCUAAUUUCUCCCAAAGCACGUUGAGCGCAGCAGUGACUGAACAUCAAGGGUAAGCACUGUUUCGAUUGCGGGCCGCGAGCAGUAAAUCGAGGCAAACUCUGAAUACAGAUAUGACCUCCGUCUGCUGGGGUCAAGGUCGGCCAGUGAGACGGUGGGGAUAAGCUUCAUCGUCGAGAUAGCCCGGAUCACCAGCUAAAACCCUAAAUGACCGCUGUAAAGGUAGGGGUGCGAGACAGCAGGAGGUUUGCUAAACAUACCAUGAAGAGUGCGUAACCGCUCACUGAUCGACGCUCUGCGCCAGUGAACGGGGCUAAACGCGAUCUGCCGGCUGGGAUAUUAAAUGCUCAUCGGUAAGGGCGUUCCGCCUUGGAAACAACCGCGCGGCGGCAGUGGACAAAGCGGAAGCAGAAUGUCAGCGAACGCAAACGUAGGUGAAUCAAUGCCCAGCAAGGGUUCCUCCGCAAGGUUCGUCACGGAGAGAUCAGGGCUAAGAUCGAGCCGAGGCGUGAUCGUGGACAACAGGUGAAUAUUGCUACCUUGUUGGUCGAGGACGGAGGCUGGUUAGCCGAAUGGUUAUCGGUUCAAAACGCAAGGUGUCCCUGUUUUUCAGGAAUGAAGGGUAGAAAAUGCUGAGCAAUGUUCAGUACCAGGCGCUACAGCGCUGAGUAACCCAUGCUAUACUCCCAGGAAAGCUCGAACGACCUUCAACAAGGUGCCUGUGCGAAACCAUUUACAGGUGGGUGGUGAGAUACCCCUGGGGCGCGGACAACUCUCUAAAGACUCGGCGAAAUAUUGUAACUUCGGGAGAAGGGUGCCUCACAAAGGGGUCGCGGUGACAGCCAGGCCGGGCGACUGUUUGCAAAGCACAGGUCUCCGCAAGUCGUAAGACCAUGUAUGGGGCUGACGCCUGCCCAGUGCCGAAGGUUAAGGAAGUUGGUGACCUGAUGAGCAGGGCCGCGACCGAAGCUUGGUGAACAGCGGCCAUGCUUCUGCGGUCUAAGGUAGCGAAAUUCUUGUCGGGUAGUUCAGAGCCCGCACGAAAGGCGUAACGAUCUGGGCACUGUCUCGAAGAGGCUCGGUGAAAUAGACAUGAUAUAUUGAAUGCGGACUACCUGCACCUGGACAGAAAGACCUAUGACUUCCUGUUCCUAAGUUGGCUUUGGGCACUGCGCAGCUUAGGUGGAAGGCUUCGGGGGCGAGCUUAAAAUCAGUGAAUACCACUCUGGAAGAGCUAGAAUUCUAACCUUGUGUCGGACCUGCAGGCGAGGACAGUCUCAGGUAGACAGUUCUACAUGGGGCGUAGGCGCCCAAAAAGGUAACAGAGGCGUGCAAAAGGUUUCUCAGGCCGGACGGAGGUGGCCUCGGUGCAAAACGAAGGAGCUUGACUGCCGAACCCACCGUCGAGCAGGGACGAGAUGACGCCGUGAUCCGGCGGUGCCGAGUGGAAGGGCAAUCGCUCAACGGAUAAAGUUACUCUAAGGAUAACAGGCUGAUCUUUCCCAAACUCCCAUCGACAGAAGGUUUAACCUCGAUGACUCUUCGCCACCUGGGGCUUAAUAGUAUGUUCAAGGGUCAAACGUUCGCCCAUUAAAGCGAGCCGUGAGCUGGGUUCGAACAUCGUGAGACAGUUCGGUCCAUAUCCGGUAAUGUGGGUAGAGCAUUGAGGACCUUUCCUAGUACGAGAGGACCGGGAAGGACACCUCUGGUGCCAGUUAUCGUGCUUACGGUAAACGCUGGGUGGCCAAGUGGAGCGGACGCUGCUGGCAUCAAGUGAUGGCCACCCCAGAUGAGUGCUCUCAUAUUCCGACUUCCCAGGGCCUCCGGUAGCACAGCCGGUUAGCAACGGGUUCUCCGCCCUGCGAUAAGGUGACGAAGUUUAAAUUCAAGAAGGUCACGGCGAGACGACCGUUUAUCAUUACGAUAGGUGUCAAGUGGAGGUGGUGCAGUGAUGAUGUAUGCGGCUAGGCAUCUAACGAACCGGUAGACUUGAACCU